rnacentral:rRNA from 1 species
UACGGAGGGUGCGAGCGUUGUCCGGAAUUACUGGGCGUAAAGAGCUCGUAGGUGGUUUGUCGCGUCUGCUGUGAAAACUCGGGGCUUAACUCCGGGCCUGCAGUGGGUACGGGCAGACUAGAGUGCGGUAGGGGAGACUGGAAUUCCUGGUGUAGCGGUGAAAUGCGCAGAUAUCAGGAGGAACACCGGUGGCGAAGGCGGAUCUCUGGGCCGAUACUGACGCUGAGGAGCGAAAGCAUGGGGAGCGAACAGG